rnacentral:rRNA from 1 species
CCAAUAGCGUAUAUUAAAGUUGUUGCAGUUAAAAAGCUCGUAGUUGAAUUUCGGGGUUUAUCCGUUGGUCGGGCUUUUGGGUCUGUACUGGCGUGAUGGAUUCCUACCUUCUGAAUAACCAGCAUGCCAUUAAUUUGGUGCGUUGGGGAAGCAGGACUGUUACCUUGAAAAAAUUAGAGUGCUUAAAGCAGGCUAUUGCCUGAAUACAUUAGCAUGGAAUAAUGAAAUAGGACGCAUGGUUCUAUUUUGUUGGUUUCUAGGAUCACCGUAAUGAUUAAUAGGGAUAGUUGGGGGCAUUAGUAUUCAAUUGUCAGAGGUGAAAUUCUUGGAUUUAUUGAAGACUAACUUCUGCGAAAGCAUUUGCCAAGGAUGUUUUCAUUAAUCAAGAACGAAAGUUAGGGGAUCGAAGACGAUCAGAUACCGUCGUAGUCUUAACCAUAAACUAUGCCGACUAGGGAUCGGACGAUGUUGAUUUUUUAAUGACUCGUUCGGCGCCUUACG